GCGGGUAUCGUAUAGUGGCUAUUACAUCUGGUUGCCAAUCAGAUGACGGGGGUUCGAUUCCCCCUACCCGCU
rnacentral:tRNA from 1 species